rnacentral:rRNA from 1 species
GGUGGAGCGAUUUGUCUGGUUAAUUCCGAUAACGAACGAGACUCUGGCCUAUUAAAUAGACGGCGCAUUAAUAAGUGCGUCGUACUUCUUAGAGGGACAAGCGGCGUCUAGCCGCGUGAAAUAGAGCAAUAACAGGUCUGUGAUGCCCUUAGAUGUCCGGGGCUGCACGCGCGCUACACUGAAAGAAUCAGCGAGCGAUUCACCUGGUUCGGAAGAACUGGGUAACCCAAGUAAAUUCUUUCGUGCUUGGGAUAGGGAAUUGCAAUUAUUUCCCUUGAACGAGGAAUUCCCAGUAAAUGCGGGUCAUAAGCUCGCGUUGAAUACGUCCCUGCCCUUUGUAC